UUGGGAAUCUUGGACAAUGGGGGAAACCCUGAUCCAGCCAUGCCGCGUGAGUGAUGAAGGCCUUCGGGUUGUAAAACUCUUUCGACGGGGACGAUAAUGACGGUACCCGUAGAAGAAGCUCCGGCUAACUUCGUGCCAGCAGCCGCGGUAAUACGAAGGGGGCUAGCGUUGUUCGGAAUUACUGGGCGUAAAGCGCGCGCAGGCGGCCAUUCAAGUCAGGGGUGAAAGCCCAGAGCUCAACUCUGGAACUGCCUUUGAAACUGUAUGGCCUGAGUAUGAGAGAGGUGAGUGGAAUUCCCAGUGUAGAGGUGAAAUUCGUAGAUAUUGGGAAGAACACCGGUGGCGAAGGCGGCUCACUGGCUCAUUACUGACGCUCAGGCGCGACAGCGUGGGGAUCAAAC
rnacentral:rRNA from 1 species